GACUCCUACGGGAGGCAGCAGUGGGGAAUAUUGCACAAUGGAGGAAACUCUGAUGCAGCAACGCCGCGUGAACGAAGAAGGCUUUCGAGUCGUAAAGUUCUGUUAUAGGGGAAGAAGAAGUGACGGUACCCUAUGAGAAAGCCACGGCUAAUUACGUGCCAGCAGCCGCGGUAAUACGUAAGUGGCAAGCGUUAUCCGGAAUUACUGGGCAUAAAGCGUUCGUAGGCGGUUAAACAAGCCAAUAGUGAAAUCCACCAGCCUAACUGGUGUCAGCUAAUGGAACUGUAUAACUUGAGUACAGGAGAGGAAAGUGGAAUUCCUAGUGUAGUAGUGAAAUGCGUAGAUAUUAGGAAGAACAUCAGUAGCGAAGGCGACUUUCUGGACUGUAACUGACGCUGAGGAACGAAAGCGUGGGGAGCGAACAGGAUUAGAUACCCUGGUAGUCCACGCCGUAAACGAUGGAUACUUGGUGUUGGCCGUAAAGGUCGGUGCCGGAGCAAAUGUAUUAAGUAUCCCGCCUGGGGAGUACGGUCGCAAGGCUGAAACUCAAAAGAAUUGACGGGGACCCGCACAAGCAGCGGAGCAUGUGGUUUAAUUCGAAGCAACGCGAAGAACCUUACCAAAUCUUGACAUAUCAAAGCUAUCUGAGUAAAAUUAGAGUUCCAUUUGGACUUUGACUACAGGUGGUGCAUGGUUGUCGUCAGCUCGUGUCGUGAGAUGUUGGGUUAAGUCCCGUAACGAGCGCAACCCUUAUUUUUAGUUGCUAACAAGUAAAGUUGAGGACUCUAGAGAGACUGCCGAUGAAAAAAUCGGAGGAAGGUGGGGAUGACGUCAAAUCAUCAUGCCCCUUAUGAUNUGGGCUACACACGUGCUACAAUGGCCGGUACAACGGGUAAGCGAAGGGGUGACCUGGAGCCAAUCCUCACAAGCCGGUCCCAGUUCGG
rnacentral:rRNA from 1 species